CGGCGCGGGUCCCGGGACCCCGGCCUGCGGGGCUCGCGGGGGCGGGGCGGCGCCCGGGGCCGCGAGCGGCGGGUGAGGCCUCUGCGGGGAGCCCGAGUCCGGCGUCUCCUGCGGCGGCCCAGGGGCGAGGUGGAGGCGCGGGGGGACGCCGGGAGCCGCGGCGGGGCGCCGCGGGGCGUCCGUCUCUGCCCCCGAGGUCAGCCAGGAGCCGGCGGUUGGUGCAGGGCCCCGACGGGUGAGGUCUGGAGCCCCUGGAAACACCCCCCGGACCGGAAGCGCUUGGUCUCCACAAGCCGCCCCGAGCUCAGGUUCCACCUACAAGUUGAACUCCUAUAGCAUUUGUCUUUCUCUGACUUAUUUCACUUACCAUGAUGCAUUCAAGGUCUGUCGGUGUUGUCGCAAAAAUGGGAGAUUUUGGAUAAGUCAUUAUUAAGGAAGCCAAGGACACCUGUGUUGUAUUGAAAGCACACCAGCCAUGAGAUCGGAAGGCCUGAAUUUGAAUUCUCGUUACUCACAAAUAUAAGCAACUUCCCCUGACCUUCUCAGCUCUCAGACUGCUGGCUGUCAACCAACAUGCAGCUGACAGAAAAAUAGAAAUCUUCUCUGGGGGAGAGAAAAGAACUAAGAUCCUGACAUCAGGAAGUCCCCAAGGAAGAGAACUAAGAUCUUGACAUUGAGAGUCUCCCAAGGAAUAGGCCCAGCUAGAUUGCCCUAUAAUGAAGACUACAGUAAACAAGCUACACAUACAUGCACAGAGUUUGUAAUCUGCUUACUGGUGGACAGCUUUUGGUUUGAGCAAGCAGCCAGGGAAUACCAAAAGAACAAGGAAAGCCUCUGCUGUGAGUGAGUGGAAUGUUGAGAAAAUAAGAGAAGUUGUUACAUUGAUAAAAGAAAAACAAGGUAUUAUGUUUAAAAAAGAAACUUAAAGAACAAAGAAACAAGCAUUUAGAAAUGAAGAUAGCAGAUAUAAAGGAAGUUUGAAUGAACUAGAAGAUCAAUACAGAAGGUAGAAUUUAGGAAAUGUGUCAGGAAGUAGAAGAGAAAAAAAUAAGAAAAUAAGACAACCAAUCCAGAAAAUUCAAUACCUAAAUAAUAGGGUUUCCAGAAAGAGGACACAGAGAAAAUAGAGGGCAGGAAAUUAAGGAAAGUAAUAUAGAAAGUAAUUCAAGAAAAUUUCUUGGAACUGGGCAUACUUACCCAGCACAGUGGUCUAAAAUAGACCCACAUUAUCUCCUAUCAUGGUGUUUCAAAGCACUGCGAAAAAAGAGAAAAAUUCUACAAUCUCCAGAGGGGGAAAGGGAAAGAGAUCAAGAAUCAGAAUGGCACCAAAUCUUCAAAAUAUAACAGAAGCUGCAAGAAAUGUAACAAUGUCUUCAAACUUCUGAAGGAAAGUCAUUCUAAUUUCAAUUCCAUUCCCAUCCAAAGUGUGAGGGGAGAAUGAAGAUCUCCAAAAAUCUAUUUCCCUUGCACCCCUUCUCAGGAAGCUAACGGGGGAAUGUGUCCCACCAAAACAAGGAGUAAAACCUAGGAUCCAAGAAACAGAGGAGAGUCUGUAGGAUGGAUUGAUUGAAGACCUCAAGGUGACAGCUGUGCCUAGAAAGUGACAUGUCCAGGAUGAAGCACAUCACAAGUUUCCAGGAAGGACAUCUUCAGGAAGUCAAAAUUGAUGGAUUGCCUAAUUUGAGUAUCUCAAGAGAAAACCUGAACUCUUUGGGGAGGAUUUGGAUUAAAUAAGCAACAAGCCCAUCAAGAAGUAAGGAAAUCUAUGAAAAGACCAUUGUCAAAUUAAGAGAAAACUAAAAAGUUAUGCAGGGCUUAUUAAAAUUAAGCAUUUGUACUCAUCAAAAACAAGUGAAAAGAUAGAAUCUUGAGGAGGUAUUCAUAAUAAACAUAAAUGACAAAUACUGAGAAUAUAUAAUGAACUCCUAAAAAUCAAUAAGAAGACUACAAACAACCCAAUAAAAAGUGGGCAGGAAAUCUGAAGAAGUAUUUCACAGAAGAGGAAAUUCAUGUAGCCAAUAAAUGCAAAGAGAUGGUCAGACUUACUGAUGAGAAGGAAAAUGCAAAUGAAGACCGUAAUGAUACAGCCAUUUCAUUGACGAAAAUUCAAAAGACUGAUAAUACCUGCAGCCUGGUUGGCUCAGUGGUUCAGCGCUGCAUUCAGCUCAAUGUGUGAUCCUGGAGACCCAGGAUUGAGUCCCAUGUCAGGCUCCUUGCAGAGAGCCUGGGCUUCUCCCUCUGCCUGUGUCUCUGUCUCUCUCUCUCUCUCUGUAUGUCUUUCAUGAAUAAAUAAAUAAAAUCUUUAAAAAAAAAAAAAGACUGAUAAUACCGAGUGUUGGAUAAGACGUAGACUCAUAAAAUCUUUUUCGUGUUGCUGGUGAGAUUAAAAAAAUUAAAAUGCUUUAGCAUUACCUUCCAUAGUUGGAGAAAAAAAAAUACUUUGUGACCCAGCAAUCUUCUUUCAAGUGGAAAAAGAAAGUUAGAAUAUAUAAAAUAAGAGAAAUGCACAAGAAGUUUCAUUAUAGCCCUCUUCAGCAAAAUAAUCCAAAAACUGCCUUUCAGUGAGAGAGUGGAUAACAAUUUACAGCAGUCAAAACAAAUAAAUGUAUGAAUGAAACUUUAUCCUGAGAUUUCAUCGUAAGUGAAAAAGUAAUGCAGUACUUGGCUGGUUCAGUAGAAUGUGUGACUCUUCAUCUCAGGGUUGAGUUUGAGCCCCAUCUUGGGUGUAGAGAUUACUUAAAAAUAAAAAAAUCUUUAAAAAAUUUAUUUAAAAAGAUUUUAUCAUAAAUGAAAAAGUAAUUUAGUAAUUUUCAAAUAUAUACACCAUAAUGUACUUUAUAUAAAAUUUAAAUUUUUUAAAAAUCCUCUUGCUUUUGGGCAGCCUCAGUGGCUCAGCGGUUUAGCGCCACCUUCAGCUCAGGGCCUGAUCCUGGAGACCCAGGAUGGAGUCCCACGUCAGGCUCCUAACAUGGAGCCUGCUUCUCCCUCUGCCUGUGUCUCUGCCUCUCUCUCUCUCUCUCUCUGUGUGUGUCUCUCAUGAAUAAAUAAA